CUUUUGCUGGGUGAAUGUCUGGGAAAUUCUGAGCACCUGUCAAAGUCUGCAAAGUGUCAGUUUUAGGGCACAGCUCUCUCUCGGACACCCGUUCCUGUGGCUAGCGGUGCUGUAACCGAGCGAACGAGCACAACAAAAGAUGAGCGCAGAUCUCGGCAGGGGACGAAAGGCGCGAGGGUGCAGCGGAACCAUGAGGCCGAAAGCGGAGGAGGAUAUGGCAAAAGCAUAAGAAAAGCGUAGUGCAGCGGUUGCUGUGAAUAGUGGCCACGCAUCACCCACGCGCUGGCUCUCAUGAUCUCUAGAUCAGCGAGGUAGUCGUGCCACACUUCGCUCUGUUCGCAACGUGCCGCACGAGACAGAUCGUCUGCACCAGCCAAUAUAUCGUGAAAUGAAGACACGUGUACAGCUGCGCUCAAAUUUCACAUUGGGGACUAUCGUAAGCGUCGGUAAACUUUUUUAUUUCAAUGAUUAAAGUCGUGAAAAAAUGAUGGCAUACGGCUGGAAGUUCAUCUAGGUUAUCUCGUAAAGCUAUGAGUGGUGUCCAAAACGUGAUGCUAUGAUGUUUCUGGCUCCCGCAGUCACUUCCGCCGCAUGCAGCCAGCAAAAGCGUGGCCUUUGAGAACUGUAUUGGACACCACCCUUAAAGCUCUUCAGAGCACCACAAGUCAGCUUUCCUGCAUAGUUACGGUUUCUAAUCUCCAUAAUAAUGAAAUUGAUCCUUAAAUUGCAUGCAGCUUUGGCUUCCAGCCAGCUGCGUGCACAUGUGUAGUCCCUGCAUGCACUUAUGGCAGUACAGAACGCAGGGUUUGCUGUACGGGACAAAUCUUGCGUGCUGCAUUGAAGGACAUUAUCAUGAUGUCAUCCAACUCGUACUCUUGUCUAUGUGGCAGUGGUCCUUCAUAGGAAACAGGUGAUGGAGCCUGAUGCUGCAGAAGUGUCAUACUUUCGUAUUAGCUUACUGAAAAAGCAAAGGUACACAUUGUUUAUUUGAGGGAGCAAAUGCUACACCUUAUUGCAAAUACCUGUGAAGAUUGAAGCAGGUUUGGUCUACCCUUUCUCCAACAUUGUGCGUACAUGCCAACUGUUACGGUAAAAUGCCGGAUUUUUAUUGCUUGUUUACGAGUCUCGUAAUGACACCAGUAAUUUUACUGUUUUCCAUUUGUUGCCAGAUAAGGGCAACAUAUGGGGCAGAAACUUGGAGUCGCCCACCAAUUUCUCAGGAUCGGUUUCAGACCCACUUGCUUAUUCUGAUCUACCAGCUGCCAUUCACGGCACUCUGCACUCCUGUUGUGCUGAGAACAAAGUAUAACGCUGGCUUCAGCAGCAUCAAACACAAGGGGCUCUGUGGCGCAUGUGGCACUGCGCGAGUCUCUUCAUCAGGCACAAAACCGAAACGACCUUCGUGGCAUUCAUAUGCUUUACUGCAUGGCAUCAAUGUUUGCAGGGAGCUCAUUUUAGCAAACCGGCCACCAUUGUGCAACACACAUUAGACCCUUGCCCAUUUUUCUUGCUAAAAGAUGUAGUGUGCAUUAGAUUUUACUUUGUUUAUGAGAUUUAAUGUCAUUUCUAUGUUAGUUUCCUACUUCGAAAACAUAGAAAGUGCGCUUGAUUCAGGGGCGUGUUAGAAUAGGGCAAGUACAGGUAAACCCACUUAUAAUGGUCCCAAUUAUAAGGAUGUACCGGUUAUAACCACAACAUUUCAGUGUAUUCACAAUUUUCCAACCCUGCCAAAUGAAAGUGCUUUCAAAUAUAAUGAACGUCUUUUUAAUCGCCGUACUGUUAUAACAAACGCUUUGAACUCGGUCUUGGUAAAAACAGGCGCUGGGAGGUGUAACAUCAGAUGCUACGACAGCGGCACUCCCGUUAUUGCAUAAUUGUCCGUGCAUUACACCUACAGUGAAAUCUCCUUGAAACAAUUCUGCUUAAUACGUUUCUCGUGAUAACUUCCUUUUUCUAUAUACGAUUAUGGUCAGGUAAUGCGAUUUUCGAAUGAUACGUUUUACUUUCUGGUUCCCGUGAAGGUCGUAUCGAGAUUCCACUGUAUUUAAACAAUUUGGUGUGACCAUCUAAUUCCCUUCUACCAUGAGAACAGGUGCUCAGGCGUUCCUGUUGCCACUGUCAAUACUCAUGUGCCCCGCGCUGCCGCCACGCAACGUUGCAAUGGAUCGGUGGUUAUUACGCUGUUAUCAGAUCAGGGUUCAACGACACUUUACACUUUGCUGAUUGCUGAUAACAGUUAGUGUUAUUCCGGAGCCCUCCACUACAGCGUGCUUCAUAGUCGCAACUGGUUUUGGCACGUAAAACCCCAGAAAGAAGAAAACAGUUCGUGGUGACAUUCUACCCUUCAAACAUCAUAUUUUUUCAGUUGAAGCGACACAGAUAAUGUAAUUUUACGGCUAUGUGUGGCUGAUGUGUAGUCGUAAUGCCGAGACAUGCCACAGUAGUUUCCAAAAUUUAUGCUUUCAGACAACUAGAAUGCUUUGAUGUCUUAUGCAGAAUAUAGGGCUGUCUCGUGGGUAGUAAACAUGUCACAAGCUCUCGAAUAAAAAAUGACGGCUGUACUUGCAGUUUCGAAGUUGCAGGUGAUCAGAACCGGGUGCCAUUUUGAAACAGCGAUAUGCCACAGCAUUUCAUUCUUUAGAUGGACGUUUUCAAUGGAAAUUUGCUGCUAGGUGCGGGAACACACUGGGAACGAAAGUGACACUCAAAAUCUGGUUUUUGGACAGAAGGGCUGCUAGUUAAUUUCUUCCCACGAACUUUAAUUACGUCUCUCCCGUCAGGGUCAAAAUUAAAGCAAGUCACCUCUUUUGAUAUUUUUG